UAAUUGAAGAGUUUGAUCAUGGCUCAGAUUGAACGCUGGCGGCAGGCCUAACACAUGCAAGUCGGGCGGUAACAGGGAGAAGCUUGCUUCUCUGCUGACGAGCGGCGGACGGGUGAGUAAUGUAUGGGGAUCUGCCUGAUGGCGGGGGAUAACUACUGGAAACGGUAGCUAAUACCGCAUAAUGUCUUCGGACCAAAGCGGGGGACCUCCGGGCCUCGCGCCAUCAGAUGAACCCAUAUGGGAUUAGCUGGUAGGUAAGGUAACGGCU
rnacentral:rRNA from 1 species